GAGUUUGAUCCUGGCUCAGGAUGAACGCUGGCGGCGUGCUUAACACAUGCAAGUCGAACGGAGUACCCCUGAAGGAGUCUUCGGACAACUGAUGGGACUACUUAGUGGCGGACGGGUGAGUAACGCGUGAGUGACCUGCCCUGGAGUGGGGAAUAACGGCUGGAAACAGCUGCUAAUACCGCAUAAUAUGUCUGUGUCGCAUGGCACUGGACAUCAAAGAUUUAUCGCUCUGAGAUGGACUCGCGUCUGAUUAGCUAGUUGGCGGGGUAACGGCCCACCAAGGCGACGAUCAGUAGCCGGACUGAGAGGUUGGCCGGCCACAUUGACACUGACACACGGCCCACACUCCUACGGGAGGCAGCAGUGGGGAAUAUUGGGCAGUGGGAACAAGCCUGACCCAGCCACGCCGCGUGAAGGAAGAAGGUUUUCGGUUUGUACACUUCUUUUCUCGGGGAAAAAUCACGUGACGGUACCAGAGGAAUCCG
rnacentral:rRNA from 1 species